rnacentral:rRNA from 1 species
CCUACGGGGGGCAGCAGUGGGGAAUAUUGCACAAUGGGGGAAACCCUGAUGCAGCGACGCCGCGUGAGUGAAGAAGUAAUUCGUUAUGUAAAGCUCUAUCAGCAGGGAAGAAAAUGACGGUACUUGAGUAAGAAGCCCCGGCUAACUACGUGCCAGCAGCCGCGGUAAUACGUAGGGGGCAAGCGUUAUCCGGAUUUAAUGGGCGUAAAGGGGGCGUAGACGGCAGUGCAAGUCUGGAGUGAAAGGCGGGGGCUAAACCCCCGGACUGCUCUGGAAACUGGACGGCUGGAGUGCAGGAGAGGUAAGUGGAAUUCCUAGUGUAGCGGUGAAAUGCGUAGAUAUUGGGAGGAACACCAGUGGCGAAGGCGGCUUACUGGACUGUAACUGACGUUGAGGCUCGAAAGCGUGGGGAGCGAACAGGAUUAGAUACCCGAGUAGUC